ensembl:processed_transcript
AGGGGCCUUGGUGGAGGGAGCCAUCGCCACAAGGGCUGCUUCCCAGGCAGGCCGGGGAUCCCGGGGCACCCUCCCAACCCCCCCCCCCCCCCCCCCCCCCCCCCGGCAACAUACACAAAACGUCCCCUGCAGUUCUAGCGGGUGCAACUGGAGUACGACAGAGGGGUGGGGAGCGGCGGUAUGUGGGUAUCCCAUACCGGCCACUCUCAGCCAGAGCAGAGCUGGAGCUCUGGUCCUCCAAGGAGAAUCCAGGGCAGCAGAAGCCUCAUAUCCAUCCCCCCAACCCCGCCCCCCGCUUUGCAGACUGCAGAUGAGUGGAGUAACUUACCGAAGGUGACACCGCUAGAACACAGCAUAGCUCAAACUCCAAGCCAGCCUCUCUCUGCUCAACUGAAGAAUGGAACCAGCAGCCAUUUCAUGCAGCUAUGAGGGCCUGAGAAGGCACAGAGCCACUGCCUGACACAAGGCAAAGAAGAGAUGGUGCCUAGACAUCAAGUCCCAGAAUCGUUUGUCUGCCCACCCAGCCACCACACUGCCUUCUGCAGCAGACAGCCUAAGGCAGAGGGAUGACUCUGGGCUGGGUUUGUGAACAAGUACGUGCAGGACAAGAAGUUAACUUGAACAAAGUUCCCUGAGGCUUUGAUCAAGACUGGGUGGGAGGAUCCCAGUCGGGAGCCUCACCUUACUGGAUCCCACUGCUGUUCUAAAAAACAUAGCCACGCCUCCAACCAUGAUUUCUGGAGUAGGUUAGAAUUCAGAAGAGCACUGUUCCAUUCUAUACCAUGGUCACGACUCCCAACCCAGAAGGCUAUUUCCCCAACCUGAAAGAGGAUAUGAUGAGGAUGGAUCUGGGGACCACACAGGGAUGCCCUAUGUCCAGCUCAUAGCUCUACCCAAUACCUCUUCUAUGCUAGUAACCUCUUGAGAGAGGGUCUCAUAGUAUAUAGCUGAGACUGGCCUGGAACUCAUCAGGUAAGAGGCUGGACUACAUAAAGAGUUAAGCCAACCUCCAACUCAUGAGUCCUUUCUGCUUCCACCUCCCAAGUGCGGGGAUUACAGGUAUGAGCCACCACUCCCAGCUAAGAACAUUCUUUAUCUGCAUUGUCCAACACGAGCCAUUAGCCACAUGUACCUGAGUCAUUAGAAGGCUAUUGAGACCACUGCUGUCAUUUUAAUUUAAAUAGCCAUCCAUGGUUUAUGGAUCUCACAUGGGAUGGCUCAGACAAAUCGUGCUUUUAAAACCUAGGGUGGCCAUGUAUAUUCUAGAGAAUGUGCUAAAACCAUAUACUGUCUCCCCAGAGGAGAUAUCCUGUUGCACAUUCAAGGGAAAUCCAGCCUAACCCUUCAGAAAGCUCAAAAACCUGACCUCAACCCAGAUCUGAGACUAAGUCCAGCUAUAGGCUAGAACCCAGGGCUGGGGUUUAGCUCAGGCAUAAAGCACUUACUUGUCUUACGUGUUUAAGGUCUAAUACCCAGCACGACAAGAAAAAUUAAGUUGCUAGAGAGGUGGCUCUGUUUAGUGAAGUGCUUACUGCAAACAUGAGAACAUAAGUUUGGAUCCCCAGGACCUACAGCACCCACAUGACAGCCCAGCUUUUAUACUGCUUUAGCACUGGAGAUACAAUCCUUCCUGGAGGUUACUGGACAACCAGUCUAGCUGAAUCUGCAAAUGCAAUUGGGAGACUGUCUCAAAAUAUAAAAGGGUUGGCCUGG